AUAUCAAUAAGCGGAGGAAAAGAAACCAACAGGGAUUACCUCAGUAACGGCGAGUGAAGCGGUAACAGCUCAAAUUUGAAAUCUGGCUCUUUCAGGGUCCGAGUUGUAAUUUGUAGAAGAUGCUUCGGGUGUGGCUCCGGUCUAAGUUCCUUGGAACAGGACGUCAUAGAGGGUGAGAAUCCCGUAUGUGACUGGUUGCCUUCGCCCAUGUGAAGCUCUUUCGACGAGUCGAGUUGUUUGGGAAUGCAGCUCUAAAUGGGAGGUAUAUUUCUUCUAAAGCUAAAUAUUGGCCAGAGACCGAUAGCGCACAAGUAGAGUGAUCGAAAGAUGAAAAGCACUUUGGAAAGAGAGUUAAACAGUACGUGAAAUUGUUGAAAGGGAAGCGCUUGCAACCAGACUUGCAUGCCGUCGAUCAUCCUGGGUUCUCCCUGGUGCACUCGGCGGCGUUCAGGCCAGCAUCGGUUUCGGUGGUUGGAUAAAGGCCUUGGGAAUGUGGCUCCUCUCGGGGAGUGUUAUAGCCCUCGGUGCAAUGCAGCCUACCGGGACCGAGGACCGCGCUUCGGCUAGGAUGCUGGCGUAAUGGUUGUAAGCGACCCGUCUUGAAACACGGACCAAGGAGUCUAACAUCUAUGCGAGUGUUUGGGUGUUAAACCCAUACGCGUAAUUAACGUGAACGGAGGUGAGAACCCUUUAGGGUGCAUCAUCGACCGAUCCUGAUGUCUUCGGAUGGAUUUGAGUAAGAGCAUAGCUGUUGGGACCCGAAAGAUGGUGAACUAUGCCUAAAUAGGGUGAAGCCAGAGGAAACUCUGGUGGAGGCUCGCAGCGGUUCUGACGUGCAAAUCGAUCGUCAAAUUUGGGUAUAGGGGCGAAAGACUAAUCGAACCAUCUAGUAGCUGGUUCCUGC
rnacentral:rRNA from 1 species